rnacentral:rRNA from 1 species
UACGGAGGAUGCGAGCGUUAUCCGGAUUUAUUGGGUUUAAAGGGUGCGUAGGCGGGAUGCCAAGUCAGCGGUCAAAUACGGGGGCUCAACCUGCGUCCGCCGUUGAAACUGGCGUUCUUGAGUGGGCGAGAAGUACGCGGAAUGCGUGGUGUAGCGGUGAAAUGCAUAGAUAUCACGCAGAACUCCGAUUGCGAAGGCAGCUUACUAAGCCAUAACUGACACUGAAGCACGAAAGCGUGGGGAUCAAACAGG